GACGAACGCUGGCGGCGUGCCUAAUACAUGCAAGUCGAGCGGACGGAUGGGAGCUUGCUCCCAGACCGUCAGCGGCGGACGGGUGAGUAACACGUGGGCAACCUGCCUGUAAGACUGGGAUAACUCCGGGAAACCGGGGCUAAUACCGGAUAACUCUCUCCCUCACAUGAGGGAAAGCUGAAAGAUGGCAUCUCGCUAUCACUUACAGAUGGGCCCGCGGCGCAUUAGCUAGUUGGUGAGGUAACGGCUCACCAAGGCGACGAUGCGUAGCCGACCUGAGAGGGUGAUCGGCCACACUGGGACUGAGACACGGCCCAGACUCCUACGGGAGGCAGCAGUAGGGAAUCUUCCGCAAUGGACGAAAGUCUGACGGAGCAACGCCGCGUGAGUGAUGAAGGUUUUCGGAUCGUAAAACUCUGUUGUCAGGGAAGAACAAGUACCGGAGUAACUGCCGGUACCUUGACGGUACCUGACCAGAAAGCCACGGCUAACUACGUG
rnacentral:rRNA from 1 species